UGGUUUAGAAGGGAGUUCAAAGUGCGUCUGAUCCAACCGCCUGCAAUGAGCAGGGACAUCUUGCACUAGACUAGGUUGUCCAGAACCACAUCCAGCCUGGCCCUGAAUGUCUCCAGGGAUGGCGCAUCCAUCACCUCUCUGGGCAACCUGCUCCAGUGUUUUACCCCCUUCACUGUAAAAAUUUCUUCCUCUCUUCCAGCCUGAAUCUCCCCUCUUCUAGUUUAAAAUAAUUGCCCCUCAUGCUGCCGCAACAGGCCCUGCUAAGAAAUCUUUCCCCAUUUUUCUAAUAGGCCCCUUUUAAGAACUGAAAAGUCAAAAUAAGGUCUCCCUGUAGUCUUCUCCAAGCUGAACAACCCCAGCUCUCUCAGCCUUUCCUCAUAGGAGAAGUGUUUCAUUCAAGGUUUACUGUGGGUUUGUUUGGGUUCUUUUUCAACAAUUUUUGGUGAGUCUCUAUUAGCAUGCUUCCUUGCCUCAACAAGAGAUGGUUGUGACAGUGGUUUUGUAUAGCGGGCAAUGACAGGACAUGCCACUUCACCAGGAAUCUUCUACCUACUAGAUAAAGAACAUUUAGCAUACAGUCUUGCCACACACCAUUAAGAGAAAGGCUGUGUUUCUCUGUAGCUGCAGAGCUAGCAUUUAACCUGGAUCCAUCACUGAAAUUAUACAUGAUGCUCUAGAAGAUUACAAUGCUGGUGGUUUUGCUUGAUGAAGGACCUUCACAGAGAGACAUAAUUCAGCAUUUGGGAGAAUGCAAUUUGUGUUAAACCUAGUUGGUUACAUCAGUCAGGUCACAGAAACUGGACGCUCUUGUGACUGUGCUGUCAAGAGCAAUUGGUUCUGAGCUAGCUGCAGAAAUACUCAUUUAUUUACUCUUGUAAAUUUAAUUGAACAUUUCCAGAAGGAAAUUGGACACUG